GCGGGAUUAGAGUUUGAUCAUGGCUCAGGAUGAACGCUAGCGGCAGGCUUAACACAUGCAAGUCGAGGGGUAACAGGGAUUGCUUGCAAUCCGCUGACGACCGGCGCACGGGUGCGUAACGCGUAUGCAACCUACCUUCUACAGGGGGAUAGUCAAUAGAAAUGUUGAAUAAUACCCCAUACGAUCAUGAAUUGGCAUCGAUUUAUGAGGAAAGUUCCGGCGGUAGAAGAUGGGCAUGCGUCCUAUUAGUUAGUUGGUAAGGUAACGGCUUACCAAGACAUCGAUAGGUAGGGGUCCUGAGAGGGAGAUCCCCCAC
rnacentral:rRNA from 1 species